CCUCGUAUUUCCCAAAGCUGCAGGGACUGGCGACAGACAGGUAGAAGGCGCCAGGCUCCGCCCCGGGCUCUGAGCUCCGAGCUCCGGGCUGCGGCGGGGAGGGGAUCCCUGCCAAUCACGCACGGCGCUCGCUCCUCAGGACAAACCGUCCCCACCAUUGAACACCAGUACAAGGAGCACUGUCACAGGAAGGGCCCUUCACUAUCCAGGCCAUGUUCUCUUCUCAUUGCCGCCAUCGGGAAGGAGGUAUCGGAGCCUUGGGUCCCACACCACCAGGUUCAGGAACAGUUGUUACCCUUUGGUCAACAGGCUCUUGAACUGGCAAAUGUAACUUCACUCAUCUCAACUCUGAACUGAUACUAUGGCCCCACUCUGGGGGACUCUACAACUCAAUAUUAUUUAUUUAUUAUUUUAUUUUCUAUUUGCACAGAUUUUCUUCUUUUGGACAUUGGUUGUCAGUCUUUGUCAUUCUUAAUUGAUUCCAUUGUAUUUCUUAAUUCUGCUGUAAAUGCCUGCAAGAAAAUUAAUCUCAGGAUUGUGUAUGGUGACAUACGUCAAACUGUAAAAAAAGUCUUUUGAUAAUAAAAUUACUUUUAGUUUUGAGAGCAUAGAGGGCUGAAGAAGGAGUCUGAUAGGAGAGCAGAGUGGAUCAUGGGAAAAGGGAAGGAGAGGGGUUGCCAGAGGGAAGUGAUGGACAGGUGAGGAGAAGAGAAGGGGUAAGAGGGGAACAAGAGUGAGAAAUGAAAAAAGAGAGAGGUGGGGGUGGGGCAAUAAAUCACUGGAAGUUAGAGAAAUUAAUGUCAGAUUGGAGGCUAUCAAAACAGAAUAUGAAAUAUUUCAACUCCAACCUGAGAGAGGCUUCAUCUACAAAAGCUGAUUUAUUUUUAAGUUCUUUUGUUAUUUCUUUCAAUCAGACUGCAUAAAACCAGAACUAUUUAAAUAUUAUAACAAAAAAUGCUAAAAGUGAAGUGAGCAGGAUUUCCUUUUAGGUAGUUGUUGUGGAUAUUGAAAAAGAGCUGAAGAUUGAACACUGAAAACAUGCUAAUAUAGUUCUUUUGUGCUACUGUGAAUGCCUACAAGAAAAUGAAUCACAGGUUAGUAUAUGGUGACAUAUACCGAACUGUAAACAAAUCUUAAACACAUAUAUUUAGCUAGGGUACCUAAGCCUUUUGUAGAAUACUGUAUUUGUCAACAAGGAGUGGAGGGCGAGUUUGUAAAUCUGGUGGAAGCAAAAGAUGUUUGGAAUGGCAAGGGUGGAGUGGCAUGGGAGGGAUGUGGGACAGGUGGCAGAGAAGGAGUGCUGGGGUGGGGGGUGAUACAGGUACAGAUAUAUCCAGCCCUGAGACACCAAACAAGGUCAUUUGAUUCCAAGAAAUUGGUUUAUUGAUCAUUACAGAACGUCUCUCUAGUGUUUCCCACUCCCUCCCCAGUCCCUUCCCCUUUUCCUAACCAUGAUUCCCCUCUCCCUGCCCCCUCCCCAUUCUCAAUCUACAAUAGAGACCCAUAUCAGAAUCAGGUUUGUCAUCCCUCACAUAUGCCAUGAAAUUUGGUUUUUUUUGGCAGCAAAGAGAGUAAUACAUAAAGUUACUACAGUACUAUGCAAGUCUGCACCUAAGACUUUUGCACAUUACUGUACACACUUUAAUAGUAGAUUUACUUUGAACUUUGCGAUCAUGCACAAUAAUUCAAAGUCAAAGUCAAGUUUAUCAAGGAUCAAGGAUCAAUUUUGAUUGCCAUAUGUAUUUACAUGUAUAGGAAUUUGUUGCAUUUGAUUGGUGUGACAUGAAACAAAAAAACAAUAUUCAACAAUUAUAAAGAAUUACAUUAAAGUUAGAAGUGCAGAUAUGAAAUAAAAUGUGCAUAAACAUAUAAAUACCAGAAUGUAUUCAUGCUGUAAACUGCAUUAUAAAAAGUGGCUAAAAGUGUCCUAUGUUUCUUGUCAUCUACACAAGUGCAUGUAUGAACAUAUUCAAUGUAUUCAUGUGAAAAACACAAAUUAAACAUAAAUGAUCUACAAUCCUUUCAAGAAAACAGAAUUAAAUAAUAAAAGUAAUUUUAAUGCGAA